rnacentral:rRNA from 1 species
GACGAACGCUGGCGGCGUGCCUAAUACAUGCAAGUCGACCUUAGUGGCGAACGGGUGAGUAACACGUGGGUAACCCGCCCAACAGAAGGGGAUAACACUUGGAAACAGGUGCUAAUACCGUAUACUGAUGGAUGGACCCGCGGUGCAUUAGAUGGUUGGUGAGGUAACGGCCCACCAAGGCCACGAUGCAUAGCGGACCUGAGGGGGUGAUCGUCCACAUUGGGACUGGGACACGGCCCAAACUCCUACGGGAGGCAGAAGUGGGGAAUCUCCGGCACUGGAGGAAAGUCUGACCGGGCAACGCCGCGUGAGUGAAAAAGGUUUUCGGAUCGUAAGACUCUGUUGUUAGAGAAGCGGUAUCUAACCAGAAAGCCACGGCUAACUACGUGCCAGCAGCCGCGGUAAUUC